rnacentral:rRNA from 1 species
CAAAGCCGCGAGGCAGAGCGAACCCCUAAAAGCCGUCCCAGUUCGGAUCGCAGGCUGCAACCCGCCUGCGUGAAGUCGGAAUCGCUAGUAAUCGCGGAUCAGCAUGCCGCGGUGAAUACGUUCCCGGGCCUUGUACACACCGCCCGUCACACCAUGAGAGUCGGGAACACCCGAAGUCCGUAGCCUAACCGCAAGGGGGGCGCGGCCGAAGGUGGGUUCGAUAAUUGGGGUGAAGUCGUAACAAGGUACC